rnacentral:rRNA from 1 species
CCUACGGGGGGCUGCAGUGGGGAAUAUUGGACAAUGGGCGAAAGCCUGAUCCAGCCAUGCCGCGUGUGUGAAGAAGGCCUUCGGGUUGUAAAGCACUUUCAGUGGGGAAGAAAGCCUUGGGGCUAAUACCCUCGAGGAAGGACAUCACCCACAGAAGAAGCACCGGCUAACUCCGUGCCAGCAGCCGCGGUAAUACGGAGGGUGCGAGCGUUAAUCGGAAUUACUGGGCGUAAAGCGCGCGUAGGCGGUCUGAUAAGCCGGUUGUGAAAGCCCCGGGCUCAACCUGGGAACGGCAUCCGGAACUGUCAGGCUAGAGUGCAGGAGAGGAAGGUAGAAUUCCCGGUGUAGCGGUGAAAUGCGUAGAGAUCGGGAGGAAUACCAGUGGCGAAGGCGACCUUCUGGACUGACACUGACGCUGAGGUGCGAAAGCGUGGGUAGCAAACAGGAUUAGAUACCCUAGUAGUC